UACAGAGGGUGCUAGCGUUAAUCGGAUUUACUGGGCGUAAAGCGUGUGUAGGCGGUUCGUUAAGUCGGAUGUGAAAGCCCUGGGCUCAACCUAGGAAUUGCAUUCGAUACUGGCGGGCUAGAGUACGGUAGAGGGCGGCGGAAUUCCGGGUGUAGCGGUGAAAUGCGUAGACAUCCGGAGGAACACCGAUGGCGAAGGCAACCGCCUGGGCCUGUACUGACGCUGAGACACGAAAGCGUGGGGAGCAAACAGG
rnacentral:rRNA from 1 species